GACAGAGGGUGCAAGCGUUGUUCGGAAUCACUGGGCGUAAAGCGCGUGUAGGCUGCUGCGCAAGUCGGAUGUGAAAUCCCACGGCUCAACCAUGGAAGUGCAUUCGAAACUGCGUAGCUAGAGUUUUGGAGAGGAAGGCGGAAUACUCGGUGUAGAGGUGAAAUUCGUAGAUAUCGAGUGGAACACCGGUGGCGAAGGCGGCCUUCUGGACAAUGACUGACGCUGAAACGCGAAAGCGUGGGGAGCAAACAGG
rnacentral:rRNA from 1 species